GUAACUGGAAGGGAACUGGUUUUAUUUAACUACUAGGCUACGUGGGGCGGCAGGUAGCCUAGUGGUUAGAGCAUCGGGGCCAGUAACUGGAAGGGAACUGGUUUUAUUUAACCACUAGGCUACGUGGGGCGGCAGGUAGCCUAGUGGUUAGAGCAUCGGGGCCAGUAACUGGAAGGGAACUGGUUUUAUUUAACUACUAGGCUACGUGGGGCGGCAGGUAGCCUAGUGGUUAGAGCAUCGGGCCCAGUAACUGGAAGGGAACUGGUUUUAUUUAACCACUAGGCUACGUGGGGCGGCAGGUAGCCUAGUGGUUAGAGCAUCGGGGCCAGUAACUGGAAGGGAACUGGUUUUAUUUAACCACUAGGCUACGUGGGGCGGCAGGUAGCCUAGUGGUUAGAGCAUCGGGGCCAGUAACUGGAAGGGAACUGGUUUUAUUUAACUACUAGGCUACGUGGGGCGGCAG